GAAGAGGGAACGCGCGCGGGCAGCGUCGGCGGCGGAGAGGCCUAGUCGGACUGUGCUGGGCUGUCCGAGGGGCCCGAGAGGCAUCUGCCCCAGAGAACCCUCGUGCUGUUAAUUCAUUCUUUGGAAACACGUUCCAUGAUGUUGCUGAGGUCCUGGCGGAAGAUGGAGAGUGAAAAAUCGGACUUUCGUCUCUGCCUUUAUGGAAUUUCCACAAGAGGAAUAAUGAGAUGUAUCUCUCUUGCGUGCGUUGAAAAUUUUUCCACAAUAAAAAGUUUAAUGAAACAAUAUUAGGUCAGAACAGUUCCUGAGGGAACAAAAGUUGAGGCUUAAAACAAAAUAAAAAAUUCAAAACCAA